GACGUAGGGCGCGAGCGUUGUCCGGAUUUAUUGGGCGUAAAGAGCUCGUAGGCGGCUCGUUGCGUCAACCGUGAAAACCCGGGGCUUAACUUCGGGCUUGCGGUUGAUACGGGCGGGCUGGAGUUCGGUAGGGGAGACUGGAAUUCCUGGUGUAGCGGUGAAAUGCGCAGAUAUCAGGAAGAACACCCGUGGCGAAGGCGGUUCUCUGGGACGGUACUGACGCUGAGACGCGAAAGCGUGGGGAGCGAACAGG
rnacentral:rRNA from 1 species